GCCGAAGUGGCGGAAUGGUAGACGCGCCGGUCUCAAAAACCGGUGGGAGCAAUCCCGUGUCGGUUCGAAUCCGACCUUCGGCACCA
rnacentral:tRNA from 1 species